GAUGAACGCUGGCGGCGUGCCUAAUACAUGCAAGUCGAGCGAACAGACGAGGAGCUUGCUCCUCUGACGUUAGCGGCGGACGGGUGAGUAACACGUGGAUAACCUACCUAUAAGACUGGGAUAACUUCGGGAAACCGGAGCUAAUACCGGAUAAUAUAUUGAACCGCAUGGUUCAAUAGUGAAAGACGGUUUUGCUGUCACUUAUCGAUGGAUCCGCGCUGCAUUAGCUAGUUGGUAAGGUAACGGCUUACCAAGGCAACGAUGCGUAGCCGACCUGAGAGGGUGAUCGGCCACACUGGAACUGAGACACGGUCCAGACUCCUACGGGAGGCAGCAGUAGGGAAUCUUCCGCAAUGGGCGAAAGCUUGACGGAGCAACGCCGCGUGAGUGAUGAAGGUCUUCGGAUCGUAAAACUCUGUUAUUAGGGAAGAACAAUUGUGUAAGUAACUAUGCACGUCUUGACGGUACCUAAUCAGAAAGCCACGGCUAACUACGUG
rnacentral:rRNA from 1 species